GUAAGUGGCUUACUGGCCGAUGUUUGUGCCGAAUGCCGAGUGGAUUCAAAAUCCACCGGGGUAAAACCCGUGGGGGUUCAAGUCCCCCCUCCGGUACU
rnacentral:tRNA from 1 species